AGUGAACGCUGGCGGUAGGCCUAACACAUGCAAGUCGAACGGCAGCACAGUAAGAGCUUGCUCUUACGGGUGGCGAGUGGCGGACGGGUGAGGAAUACAUCGGAAUCUACUUUUUCGUGGGGGAUAACGUAGGGAAACUUACGCUAAUACCGCAUACGACCUACGGGUGAAAGCAGGGGAUCUUCGGACCUUGCGCGAUUGAAUGAGCCGAUGUCGGAUUAGCUAGUUGGCGGGGUAAAGGCCCACCAAGGCGACGAUCCGUAGCUGGUCUGAGAGGAUGAUCAGCCACAUUGGAACUGAGACACGGUCCAGACUCCUACGGGAGGCAGCAGUGGGGAAUAUUGGACAAUGGGCGCAAGCCUGAUCCAGCCAUACCGCGUGGGUGAAGAAGGCCUUCGGGUUGUAAAGCCCUUUUGUUGGGAAAGAAAAGCAGCAGGUUAAUACCCCGCUGUUCUGACGGUACCCAAGGAAUAAGCACCGGCUAACUUCGUG
rnacentral:rRNA from 1 species